rnacentral:rRNA from 1 species
AGGAUAAACGCUGGCGGCGUGCCUAACACAUGCAAGUCGAACGUCCUACGCAAGUAGGGAGUGGCGGACGGGUGAGUAACACGUGGGCAAUCUACCUUUCGGUGAGGAAUACCGGCGAGAAAUCGCCGACAAUACCGCAUACGCUUCGCAAGAAGCAAAGUCGCAAGACGCCGGAGGAGGAGCCUGCGCCCGAUUAGCUGGUUGGUGAGGUAAGAGCUCACCAAGGCGACGAUCGGUAGCUGGUCUGAGAGGAUGAUCAGCCACACUGGGAUUGAGAACGGCCCAGACUCCUACGGGGGGCAGCAGUGAGGAAUUUUCCGCAAUGGGCGAAAGCCUGACGGAGCAAUGCCGCGUGGAGGAUGACAGCCUGUGGGUCGUAAACUCCUUUUCUCAGAGAAGAAGUUCUGACGGUAUCUGAGAAUAAGCAUCGGCUAACUCCGUGCCAGCAGCCGC